rnacentral:lncRNA from 1 species
UUUGAAUCUGAUUCUACACUCUCUAAGUGGAAGUAUAUGCUUCCUACCUGAGAGUGAAUCGGGUUCGAAUCUUGCGGGGACCUUCUGUAACUAUUCUUUCGCGUUUUUCAUUCGUUUUAGCGUUAAAGUCAAACUGCGUUUGACUUUCUGCAUUAACCAGUUUAUGGUCAAUGCGAAGUUCGUUUGAACUUCAUAACGUGAGCGUAAUCACGAUGGUUAUAGUCCCUAGUAACUAUACCUACUGAUUACCACGUUAUCUAGGCUCAGUGACGAGUCGUAGUUUCGGCCAAAAUGCGUUUUCUCGCGGUCGUAAAGGUAAGCGAUCUAAUCAAUCGCUUAUGCUUACGAACCCGACCCAUUGGUCGAUCUUUAGGAUCCGACCAAACACAUUAGGUGACCAUAGUUGUAUAGGGAAUAACCUUCCGAGGUUAUACCUUAUGGUCACGACGUUUAGUUAGUUAUAUGAAAGGUAGUUUAUAUGCCUUAGGUAAAUUAC